GGGAGAGCGUCUCGGAUCAUUGACAACUAAAUAGGAGCAGCAAACGUCCAAUUAAAGGGCCCUGAUCACGAAACACAGUAAUAAAAUGAAUCUGGAGAGUUUGAUCCUGGCUCAGAACGAACGCUGGCGGCGUGCCUAACACAUGCAAGUCCAACGUGAAAGGGGAGCAAUCCCCCGGUAGGGUGGCAAACGGGUGAGUAAUACAUGGGUGAUCUACCUUAGGGAUGGGGAUAUCCUUCCGAAAGGAGGGGCAAUACCGAAUAUUGUCCGGAGCCGUGAAGGGUUCCGGGGAAAGGGAGGCCUCUGAUACAAGCUUUCGCC
rnacentral:rRNA from 1 species